rnacentral:lncRNA from 1 species
AAUUCGGGUGUCAGAUUUGAGGGGGGAAAAGACCUUAUUAAUAAAAUAAAUUAAAAAAAUAAAUAUUUUUACAUAUUUUAUGUAAUUAAUUGAGGUUAAAGGUUGGCUGAGAUCAUGCUGGGCAAGCCCUGAAGGGCUCCAGAGCCAAAGGACCUCUCUGCCCUAAGAGCUUAAAAGUUCUAAGCAUUAAUUCAGUCACAGACGUCAGGAAAGUAAAAAAAUAAAUGAAAUAAAUAAACCUGAAUCUCCCUAAUCUGAGGAUUUAAUUGUGAAUCCUGUGUUCUCGCAUAGGAAGGGAACGCGACAGCCGAUUUUGACUGGAAGAGGUGGCGAGACAGGAAAAAAAAGGAUUUUCCCCGCAAUCUUUGGAGUCAAUCGUUCACUGUGAAAUCCACUGAAGUCCGAGUGGUUUUCCACACUCACCUCCCGAAUUCCAGGAGCAGAGGAAGGAGCAGGGAAUAAUGAAAUCACAGCUCUUUAAUGAGCCUCAGCUUUCAACAGCUCCGGGAUCCUCCAGAGCAAGGGCUCAGUUCCAGCAAAAUGACAAAAAUCUCUGUUCCUGGUCUGGAGGGAGAGCACAGCAAGAUCAGCAGGACACAAAUCCUGGGUCAGACUGGAAACCUGAGCAAAACCCAACAUGUACCCAGGGGAGCUGUGUGAGAACCCAAAUCCUGAAACACCCAGAGGAGCUGUGUGAGAACCC